AUACAGAGGGUGCAAGCGUUAAUCGGAAUCACUGGGCGUAAAGGGCGCGUAGGUGGAUAAAUAAGUUGGCUGUGAAAGCCCCGGGCUCAACCUGGGAAUUGCAUUCGAUACUGCAGAGCUAGAGUAUGGUAGAGGGGAGUGGAAUUUCCGGUGUAGCGGUGAAAUGCGUAGAUAUCGGAAGGAACACCAGUGGCGAAGGCGACUUCCUGGGCCAAUACUGACGCUGAGGUGCGAAAGCGUGGGGAGCAAACAGGAUUAGAAACCCCAGUAGUCC
rnacentral:rRNA from 1 species